AGAGUUUGAUCCUGGCUCAGGACGAACGCUGGCGGCGUGCUUAACACAUGCAAGUCGAACGAUGAAGGCGGGAGCUUGCUCCUGCUGGAUUAGUGGCGAACGGGUGAGUAACACGUGAGUAACCUGCCCUUGACUCUGGGAUAAGCGUUGGAAACGACGUCUAAUACCGGAUACGAGCUAGGACCGCAUGGUCACUAGCUGGAAAGAAUUUUGGUCAAGGAUGGACUCGCGGCCUAUCAGCUAGUUGGUGAGGUAAUGGCCCACCAAGGCGACGACGGGUAGCCGGCCUGAGAGGGUGACCGGCCACACUGGGACUGAGACACGGCCCAGACUCCUACGGGAGGCAGCAGUGGGGAAUAUUGCACAAUGGGCGCAAGCCUGAUGCAGCAACGCCGCGUGAGGGACGACGGCCUUCGGGUUGUAAACCUCUUUUAGCAGGGAAGAAGCGAAAGUGACGGUACCUGCAGAAAAAGCACCGGCUAACUACGUGCCAGCAGCCGCGGUAAUACGUAGGGUGCAAGCGUUGUCCGGAAUUAUUGGGCGUAAAGAGCUCGUAGGCGGUUUGUCGCGUCUGCUGUGAAAAUCCGAGGCUCAACCUCGGACCUGCAGUGGGUACGGGCAAACUAGAGUGCGGUAGGGGAGAUUGGAAUUCCUGGUGUAGCGGUGGA
rnacentral:rRNA from 1 species